rnacentral:lncRNA from 1 species
UGUCAAACAGGUAAAAAAAAAACAAGGGGUCUAAAAUAGUUCCUUGUGGUUAUAUCCACUGGUCGGUGACCACAGUGCAUCACAUGAAAAUUGGUUAACUAUCUGACUCAAUAUAGCUACACAAGAACUUUCCAACAGAGGUGCUCGGUCAGAAAAAAGCAUGCGGCCUGUCUGCAAACUGUAGAGAGGAGACGUGCAGUUGCAUGAUGAGAGCAUUUGACCAGAAUGUACAGAUAAGGCUUCUAGAAGUACUCCAUUUUUAAGGACACCUCACACUUCUGAUGGCCAUUAAUGGUCGUGUUGCAAACAGAAAUGCUGCUUAUUCCUCUCGUGCUGGUGUUUGCAGGAGUUUCUCAUGUUUUAUCUACAGGAACCAAGACUGUCUGUAAUGCGACCCAGUUUGCUACAUGUCAUGGGAACCUGGGAGAACCUACAUAUUUACAGUUGCUGCCAAAUGCCGUUGGACUUGAAUUAACUUGCAAGAAAAUGACUCAGAAUGGUCAUGCAGGGAUUUUUAGAUUUAGAAAUAACCAGAUUGUGUUCUUCAAUGAGUCCUUCACCUCAUCUAUGCAGGACCGAUGGCACUUUGUUGCUACAAACGGGACUAUAAUUAUCAACCAAGCAACAAAGAGAGACUCAGGAACAUACAAAGUAGAGAUCAACAACGGUGAAACAGGGGCGAUUGUGGCAAAUACCACAAUACAGCUGAUUAUUUCGGGUAAAUAA